UUGUGCUAUCAGAACUCGCGUCACAUUGUCUGUACCUUAAAAAAGCUGCGUAGUAUAAAACGCCACGUGCGGUAUCUACAUAUAGAAAUUCAUGCUUCGAAGCCACGUUCGUUGGCAUCGAGCACUUGUUGUUAUUAAAUGUGAGCGACAACUGCGGCGAGCUCUGUGCACUCAAAGUUGCAAGCAAAUUUUCUCAACAUUGUGCUCUCGAAUAAUAAUGCAAAAAUUCUCAUUUUGUAAAACUUUACUGGCUUCAGCAAAUUGGAUUGAAACUGUUUUUACCCGGACACCUAUUUUUCGACGAUACAUCUCAUGAUCUCGUACGAAGAUAAGUUUACGUGAACGGUGCUACGAAGCGGGAGUUCAUCUCGAGAAAUUGACGCUUUGAAAAAAUACACAAACCCAUAAAAUUGUAUGAGGAAAAAUUGAAGAGUCAUUAACACCCAUUCGGACGGAUAUCUUCGGUACACUUUUUUCUAAGGGAGCAAGCGCGAAUAACCAAGAAUUUCUUCAUUUCCAUUGGUGGGCUUUUCGAGGAGGGAAUUAUAUUCAAGGUUUUACGGCCACGAAACAGUGACA